CGCCUCUUGAAUCAGUAUAAGAGGUCCAGCCUGCCCAGUGACCCUGUUCAACGGCCGCGGUAUCCUAACCGUGCGAAGGUAGCGUAAUCACUUGUUCUUUAAAUGAGGACUAGUAUGAACGGCAUCACGAAGGUUAUACUGUCUCCUUUUUCUAAUCAGUGAAUCUAAUCUCCCCGUGAAGAAGCGGGAAUAUAACUAUAAGACGAGAAGACCCUAUGGAGCUUAAAACAACACAGCACUUGUCAAAAAACUAAACAAUUCCAGAAUUUUUAAUUUCUAGGCAACAUGACUAUAAGUUUUUGGUUGGGGUGACCGCGGAGUAUAAUAUAACCUCCAUGUUGAAAGAAUUUUAUUCUAAGCCAAAAAGUACAUUUUUAAGCAUCAAUAAAUUGACAUCUAUUGACCCAAUAUACUUGAACAACGAACCAAGUUACCCUAGGGAUAACAGCGCAAUCCACUUCAAGAGCUCCUAUCGACAAGUGGGUUUACGACCUCGAUGUUGGAUCAGGGUUCCCAGUGGUGCAGCCGCUACUAAAGGUUCGUUUGUUCAACGAUUAAAACCCU
rnacentral:rRNA from 1 species